CACCUCUACCCACCUCUACUCUACUGGAAUCCACUGAGAAGACUACUGGUGUGUAACCAUGCUGAAGGCUGUGUUUAUUCUGGGAUGUCUCCUGUCUGUGGCUCUGGCCAGUGAUGAAACGGGGGACAGCGAUGGAACUUCUGGGGAAACUGACACCAGCGGCGAAACGACCAUCGCGCAGCUGUUGGCAGCAUUGGCAGCAUUGGCCGCCACCGCCACCACCACCACCACCGCCCCUCCCGCCACCACAUAGACAGUGGGCACCGCAAAGAACCUGGCUCCAGCUCCAAAUGUUGUUGUUUAUGUAUUAGAAAACAACUAUGCCGUGAUUGAUUGAUGCUUAAUAAACUGCA